rnacentral:rRNA from 1 species
GGAAGUAAAAGUCGUAACAAGGUUUCCGUAGGUGAACCUGCGGAAGGAUCAUUACAAGUGAGGUUACCGAACGUUGGAAACAGCGGUUAGGAGCUUACACCCACCCGUGUUUACAUACUAUUGUUGCUUUGGCGGGCCGUGGCCUCCACUGCGGGCUCUGCUCGUGUGUGCCCGCCAGAGAACCAAACUCUGAAUGUUAGUGAUGUCUGAGUACUAUCUAAUAGUUAAAACUUUCAACAACGGAUCUCUUGGUUCUGGCAUCGAUGAAGAACGCAGCGAAAUGCGAUAAGUAAUGUGAAUUGCAGAAUUCAGUGAAUCAUCGAAUCUUCGAACGCACAUUGCGCCCUGUGGUAUUCCGCAGGGCAUGCCUGUUCGAGCGUCAUUUAACCACUCACGCCUGGCGUGGUAUUGGGGCACGCGGUCUCCGCGGCCCUCAAAAUUAGUGGCGGUGCCGGUGGGCUCUAAGCGUAGUACAUACUCCCGCUAUAGAGUUCCCCCGGUGGCUCGCCAGAACCCCCAAUUUUUUACAGGUUGACCUCGGAUCAGGUAGGGAUACCCGCUGAACUUAAGCAUAUCAAUAAGCGGAGGAA